rnacentral:rRNA from 1 species
CCUACGGGUGGCAGCAGUGAGGAAUAUUGGUCAAUGGACUCAAGUCUGAACCAGCCAUGCCGCGUGCAGGAAGACGGCUCUAUGAGUUGUAAACCUCUUUUGUACGGGGGUAAACGCAGAUACGUGUAUCUGUCUGAAAGUAUCCUACGAAUAAGGAUCGGCUAACUCCGUGCCAGCAGCCCGCGUAAUACGGAGGGUUCCAGCGUUAUGCGGAUUUAUUGGGUUUAAAGGGUGCGUAGGCUGUCGGAUAAUUUCGAGGUGAAAUCCCGAGGCUCAACUUCGGAAGUGCCUCUGAAACUGUUCGGCUAGAGAGUAGUUGCGGUAGGCGGAAUGUGUGGUGUAGCGGUGAAAUGCUUAGAGAUCACACAGAACACCGAUUGCGAAGGCAGCUUACCAAGCUACAUCUGACGUUGAGGCACGAAAGCGUGGGGAGCAAACAGGAUUAGAUACCCGGGUAGUC